UGGGGAAUUUUGCACAAUGGGGGCAACCCUGAUGCAGCGACGCCGCGUGAUUUAGAAGGCCUUCGGGUUGUAAAAAUCUUUUGUAUAGGAAGAAAAUGACAGUACUAUACGAAUAAGGUCCGGCUAAUUACGUGCCAGCAGCCGCGGUAAUACGUAAGGACCGAGCGUUGUCCGGAAUCAUUGGGCGUAAAGGGUACGUAGGCGGUUAAAAAAGUUAGAAGUGAAAGGCUAUAGCUCAACUAUAGUAAGCUUUUAAAACUGUUUAACUUGAGAGAUGGAAGGGAAAGUGGAAUUCCUAGUGUAGCGGUGAAAUGCGCAGCUAUUAGGAGGACUCCCGGUGGCGAUGGCGACUUUCUGGCCAUUAUCUGACGCUGAGGUACGAAAGCGUGGGUAGCAAACAGG
rnacentral:rRNA from 1 species